GCAUAUCAAUAAGCGGAGGAAAAGAAACCAACAGGGAUUGCCUCAGUAACGGCGAGUGAAGCGGCAACAGCUCAAAUUUGAAAUCUGGCGUCUUUGGCGUCCGAGUUGUAAUUUGCAGAGGAUGCUUCUGGGCAGCCACCGGUCUAAGUGCCUUGGAACAGGCCGUCAUAGAGGGUGAGAAUCCCGUAUGUGACCGGAAGGGCACCCUCCACGUAGCUCCUUCGAAGAGUCGAGUUGUUUGGGAAUGCAGCUCAAAAUGGGAGGUAAAUUUCUUCUAAAGCUAAAUACCGGCCAGAGACCGAUAGCGCACAAGUAGAGUGAUCGAAAGAUGAAAAGCACUUUGGAAAGAGAGUUAAAAAGCACGUGAAAUUGUUGAAAGGGAAGCGCUUGCAACCAGACUUGCCUGCGGUGUUCCGCCGGUCUUCUGACCGGUCUAUUCGCCGCCUGCAGGCCAGCAUCGUUUGGGGCCGCCGGAUAAAAGCGUCGGGAACGUGGCUCCCCUCGGGGAGUGUUAUAGCCCGGCGUGCAAUACGGCGCGCCUCGAGCGAGGUCCGCGCUUCGGCUAGGAUGCUGGCGUAAUGGUUGUAAGCGGCCCGUCUUGAAACACGGACCAAGGAGUCUAACAUCUAUGCGAGUGUUCGGGUGUCAAACCCCUACGCGUAAUGAAAGUGAACGGAGGUGGGAACUUUUUGUGCACCAUCGACCGAUCCUGAUGUCUUCGGAUGGAUUUGAGUAAGAGCAUAGCUGUUGGGACCCGAAAGAUGGUGAACUAUGCCUGAAUAGGGUGAAGCCAGAGGAAACUCUGGUGGAGGCUCGCAGCGGUUCUGACGUGCAAAUCGAUCGUCAAAUUUGGGUAUAGGGGCGAAAGACUAAUCGAACCAUCUAGUAGCUGGUUCCUGCA
rnacentral:rRNA from 1 species